UACCUGAUGUUCCUGAAAGAUGUUCCUGA
rnacentral:piRNA from 1 species